rnacentral:lncRNA from 1 species
CACCAACCAACCAACCAACCAACCUAUCCACCCACCCACUAACCAACUAACUAACCAGCCAACCUACUCCCCCAUACCCACCAACCAACUAACCAACCCACCCUCCCACCAACCAAUUAACCAGGCAACCCACUCACACCCCUCCCCUCCAACAACCAACAAACCAACCACCCCCUAUACAAACAGCUUUUGGUUGCACAUAACCAAAGCUGUUGUUGAGUGGGAAGUGGAGAUUGUCUAAUUAAUAAUCUGUUUUAUUCUUUUUCAGAUCACGUUGCACAGGGUACAUAAAGCUGAAUCAUCUGGGGGAAGUUUGCUAAAGACACAGAAUGCAAAGCCCCAUCUCACUCUUCUUGAAUCAGAAUGGCUGACUGUGGUGCUCAGGAAUUUGCAUGUUUAAUAAGUUUUCCCCGGGUGAUUCUAAUGAAUGCAACUUGAGUACUGUUUAGUAUAUGCUGAGUAUACCUGGAGCUUUGAUGUGCUGCAGGGAUUAGAAGAGUUUUCUGAUUUUGACCUUCCCAUUUUGAAAUAAGUAGAUUCACCAUUUUUUUUUUUUUUGGGAUGGAGUCUCACUCUGUCGCCCAGGCUGGAGUGCAGCGGCGCGAUCUCUACUCACUCACUGCAACCUCUGCCUCCUGGGUUCAAGAGAUUCUUCUGCCUCAGCCUCCUGAGUAGAGAUGGAGUUUCGCCAUGCUGGCCAGGCUGGUCUCGAACUCCUGACCUCGUGAUCCACCCACCUCGGCCUCCCAAAGUGCUAGGAUUACAAGCCUGGUGACCAAGUGGCUUAUUGUCCAUGAAGGGAGGUUUGUAAGAGGAAGGGAGGCUUGUAAGUAUCGCAUUUUAGGACACGCUGUGGAAGCCAGGACUGCCCUGCGCAGCAGCCACUGUGAACAGCUUGUGAUUCAUGUUAUUCUCAGUGUUUGGCUAAUGAAAGCAAUGCUGCAAUGGAUGUGACAAGGAGUGUUGUAAACGUUAGGA